AGCCGUGGCACUGUCAAGUCAUCAGACGCGGUGAUUGCGAGGCCUGUGGGAAAGUACAAAAGCCUGGGCUAGAUUACCCCUCUCAUCGAGCCCGCCUGUGUGGCACCUGUUUCUUAUCACCCCACUAAGUUCCCGCCUCACAGGGUAGUCUGCCUAGCUAUUAAUCCUAUAUAUAGCCAGUGCCUCCACCCCCGAGAGAGAGAGAGAGACUGAAGCACAAAAGGAGCCGCGGGGAGCGGACCGGUAGAGGCUUCGGGGCAGACUGAAGCACGGAAGGAGCCGCGGAGAGCGGACCGGUAGAGGCUUCGGGGCAGACUGUAUAAGGAGAGAAUAAAGAAAAGCCUGACCACCGCCAGACCUUGUCGUGUGUCUUUCCUGCCGGCCGGGAGCGGACACCGACAUUUGGAGGCCCGCACGGGGACUGAUCACCCCCGAGACGUGAAGUGGACAACGCUCCAGUACAGUGCUGCAAGACAGGAACCGGGACGAAAACCACUGUUGGUCCCAGAGAGGUUGACGCGACAAAGCCCUCGACUGAAGAUCAGACCUGCCCUGCCGGAGAUCCAUCACAGACCAACCAACAAGAUGAAUAGAAAUAGCGGUAGCCCAAAAUGGACAAAAAGAUCCUCAGGCAUACGCAUGGCUCGCUCGCAUGGCCUACGACCGCGUUUAAAAGUGACAGGCUUCCCACAUUCUCCUCCCUAGACAACAACAUGUAGCAGGGUGGAUGAGUCAAUGACGGGUAAGAGCGUGCCUCCCCAGCACGACUCAACCUAAGCCAGGCCCUACCCCGUUCCGCUCGAAAGCCGCUGGAUUGUUAGAUAAAUUUCUCUCCGAGGGGAUUCGUGGAGAGAAAUGAGUGCAUGCCUAUGUGCAACCAGGUUCCGUCCGGUUCAUUCCUGGCCCUAGAAAAAAGGACGAGGGCCUCAGGGCCUUGGUGGACCCUGGGACGGCCGACCAGGGUCUACGCUAAGGGCCUACGGUGGGCCUCAGUUCGGGGCAUAGGCCUCUGCACUCUAUCCAGGACGGGCUGCGAUGCGCGUAGCCAUCAUUUAAAAUAAAAUAGGGGGAGAUGUUGGGAGCCGUGGCACUGUCAAGUCAUCAGACGCGGUGAUUGCGAGGCCUGUGGGAAAGUACAAAAGCCUGGGCUAGAUUACCCCUCUCAUCGAGCCCGCCUGUGUGGCACCUGUUUCUUAUCACCCCACUAAGUUCCCGCCUCACAGGGUAGUCUGCCUAGCUAUUAAUCCUAUAUAUAGCCAGUGCCUCCACCCCCGAGAGAGAGAGAGAGACUGAAGCACAAAAGGAGCCGCGGGGAGCGGACCGGUAGAGGCUUCGGGGCAGACUGAAGCACGGAAGGAGCCGCGGAGAGCGGACCGGUAGAGGCUUCGGGGCAGACUGUAUAAGGAGAGAAUAAAGAAAAGCCUGACCACCGCCA